rnacentral:rRNA from 1 species
AUUGAAUGCUGGCGGCAGGCCUAACACAUGCAAGUCGAGCGGAUGACGGGAGCUUGCUCCUUGAUCCGGCGGCGGACGGGUGAGUAAUGCCUAGGAAUCUGCCUGGUAGUGGGGGACAACGUUUCGAAAGGAACGCUAAUACCGCAUACGUCCUACGGGAGAAAGCAGGGGACCUUCGGGCCUUGCGCUAUCAGAUGAGCCUAGGUCGGAUUAGCUAGUAGGUGAGGUAAUGGCUCACCUAGGCGACGAUCCGUAACUGGUCUGAGAGGAUGAUCAGUCACACUGAAACUGAGACACGGUCCAGACUCCUACGGGAGGCAGCAGUGGGGAAUAUUGGACAAUGGGCGAAAGCCUGAUCCAGCCAUGCCGCGUGUGUGAAGAAGGUCUUCGGAUUGUAAAGCACUUUAAGUUGGGAGGAAGGGCAGUAAGCUAAUACCUUGCUGUUUUGACGUUACCGACAGAAUAAGCACCGGCUAACUCUGUGCCAGCAGCCGCCGUAACAC